UACGGAGGAUGCGAGCGUUAUCCGGAAUCAUUGGGUUUAAAGGGUGCGUAGGCUGGUAUUUAAGUCAGUUGGUGAAAUUUUCGUGCUUAACAUGAGAGCUGCCAUUGAUACUGGAUACCUUGAGUGUAUUUGAUGUGGGCGGAAUGUGUUGUGUAGCGGUGAAAUGCAUAGAUAUGACACAGAACACCGAUACGAAGGCAGCUACACAAAGUUACAAACUGACGCUGAUGCACGAAAGCGUGGGGGAUCAAAACAGG
rnacentral:rRNA from 1 species